GGGUCCCAGGGGGGUCCCCAGGCCGGGGGUCCGCUCUCACCGCGCAGCAGAGCCCUCACGAAGCGCCCGGCUCCCGGCACCGCCAGCCACCAACUCCCGGCAUCGCGCACGGUCAGGAGCCCCGCGGCCACCAGAGCCCUGCUGGGGCCACCAGAACCCGGCUGGGGCCACCAGAGCCCUGCCGGGGCCACCAAAACCCGGCUGUGGCCACCAAAACCCGGCUGUGGCCACCAAAACCCGGCUGUGGCCACCAAAACCCGGCUGGGGCCACCAAAACCCGGCUGGGGCCACCAAAACCCUGCUGUGGCCACCAAAACCCAGCCAUGGCCACCAGAACCCGGCUGUGGCCACCAGAACCCGGCUGGGGCCACCAAAACCCGGCUGUGGCCACCAGAGCCCUGCUGGGGCCACCAAAACCCUGCUGGGGCCACCAAAACACGGCUGUGGCCACCAAAGCCUGGCUGUGGCCAUCAGAACCUGGCUGUGGCUACCAGAACCCGGCUGUGGCCACCAGAACCCGGCUGUGGCCACCAGAACCCCCCAGAGCCACCCUGGGGGUCCCAAACCCCACCCUGGGCUGUCCCCAGGUCCCCCCAGGUGUCCCCAUGACCCCCAGGUGUCCCCAGGUGUGUUCCAGGUGUGUUUUUGGUGUCCCCAGGUGUCCCCCCAUGACCCCCAGCUGUCCCCAAAUGUCCCCAGGUGUCCCCAGGUGAGGUUUUGGUGUCCCCAGGUGUCCCCAGGUGAGGUUUGGGGUGUCCCCAGGUGUGUUCCAGCUGUGAUCCAGAACAUGUUCUAG
rnacentral:lncRNA from 1 species